GAUGAACGCUAGCGGCGUGCCUAAUACAUGCAAGUCGAGCGAACAGAUGAUGAGCUCUUUCUUCUGACUUUAGCGGCGGACGCGCGAGUACGUCGUGGAUAACCAACCUAUAAUACUCGGGUAAAUUCGGGAACCCGGGGCGAAUACCUGCUAAUAUAUUUAAUCGCAUGGCUCAUUACUAUAAGACGGGUUUGCUGUCACAUAGAGAUGGUCCCGUGCCGCUUUAGCUAGUUGGUAAGGUAACGUCUUACCAAGGCAACGAUGCGUAGCCGAUCUGAGAGGAUGAUCGGCCACACCAGAACUGUGAUGCGAUCCAGACUCCUACGGGAGGCAGCAGUAGGGAAACUACCGCAGAGGGCGAAAGGCUGGCGGAGCAACGCCGCGUGGGUGAUGAAGGUCCUCGGAUCUUAGAACUCUGUUAUUUGGGAAGGACAAAUGUGUAAGUAACGUUGCACGUCCUGAGGGUACCGAAACAGAAAGCCACGGCUAACUACGUG
rnacentral:rRNA from 1 species